CCAAUCCUCUGAAAGCCUGUCACACACACACACAGGCCCAUUAGGAGAUUAGCAUGAUAGUUAGAUGACAGUCAGUGUGACCACCAUCAUAUGAUGGUGUGUGAGCGCAUGUGUCCAUGUUGCUUAUUGUAUAUCAAUAGCGACAGACAUUGCUCAGAGCAAAUAAAUAAAGUAAACCAGAAUUUUUUUUUGACAGUAAUCGACUAAAACCCUUUCUGCCACGUAUAAUCUGAAUUAGUUCAUUACCUCAAACCCAAUUAAUCCAUUCAUAAGGUUUUAAAGAGUGUGAAGAUUAAUUUUAAGGUGGGGUUGAAAAAAUUCUGUAAACAUAGUGGAAUAGAAAAAAAGACAAUGAGAGAGAGAGAGAGACGGAGGGACGUCUCUGGAAGUUUACUUAAGGAAGAGAGCAUGGAGAUGAGGUUCCACAAGAAGAAGAGAAAGAAGAAAACAAGGGAACAAUUACAUAGCAUGAACACCAUGAUAGAUGCAGGAUGGAAUAGCAACAAGAACAGGAUGGAUGUAAGAUAGAAUAUCAGGAUGGAUGGAAAGGUUAGUGUGGUAGCAAGAUGGUAGAUAAGAUAGAUAGAUAGAUAGACAAACAAAUCCACUUGUGCAGCGAAGUACAGCAAAAUAGAUCUUACUGUAUGGAGUGAAGCAGAGUAGGGAGACUAGGAGUAGCGUGUAGCUCAGGAUAGCCGUCAUAUCGGAUGAUAUCGGUUCUUCGAGGUCCUUCCCUAGAACAAUCUCACAAUAGAAAGCAGGUUGUUUGUUUUGAGGUCCUUCCCUGGAACAAUUUCACAAUAGAAAGCAGGUUGUUUGUUUUGAGGUCCUUCCCUGGAACAAUCUCACAAUAGAAAGCAGGUUGUUUGCUUCGAGGUCCUUCCCAGGAACAAUCUCACAAUAGAAAGCAAGUUGUUUGCUUCGAGGUCCUUCCCUGGAACAAUCUCACAAUAGAAAGCAAGUUGUUUGCUUCGAGGUCCUUCCCUGGAACAAUCUCACAAUAGAAAGCAGGUUGUGUGCUUCGAGGUCCUUCCCUGGAGUGAUGUGCAGGUUGUUUGCUGCUAAACCCUUCUGAUCUUAAUCCUGUCUUCUGCUCGCAGGGAAUAAAUACCCCGGUCUGCCUCUAAGGACCAGGAGAUUAGCAGUUAGCAGUAACUUCUCCACUGAGGGCGUCUUGCUCAGUUAGCAGCUAGGCUAACUCUGUCUGUCUUAACCAUCCAGGUGCUUCUUUCCAACCAAACUACUCAGUGGAAUCAUGGGGAAGUGGUGGGUGUCAUCUGACUUUGUCAACAUCUUAAUCAGAUCUGACUCCACCCAACUCCCCCCACCUCUGCCCUGGUGGGGCUAGGUAUGGUGGGACUAUUGUGUGGUGAGACUAGGUGUGUUGGGACUAGGUGCGGUGGGACUACUGUGUGGUGGGACUUGGCUUGGUGGGACUAGGUAUGGUGGGACUAGGUGUGUUAGGACUAGGUUUGGUGGCACUAGGUGUGGUGGGACUAUUGUGUGUUGGAACUAGGUGUGUUGGGACCAGGUGUAGUGAGACUAGGUGUGUUGGGACUAGGUGUGUUGGGACCAGGUGUAGUGAGACUAGGUGUGGAGGGACUAGGUGUGGUGGGACUAGGUGUAGUGAGACUAGGUGUGUUGGGACUAGGUGUGUUGGGACCAGGUGUAGUGAGACUAGGUGUGGAGGGACUAGGUGUGUUGGGACUAGGUGUGGUGGGACUAGGUGUAGUGAGACUAGGUGUGUUGGAACUAGGUGUGUUGGGACCAGGUGUAGUGAGACUAGGUGUGGAGGGACUAGGUGUAGUGAGACUAGGUGUAGUGAGACUAGGUGUGUUGGGACUAGGUGUGGUGGGACUAGGUGUAGUGAGACUAGGUGUGGAGGGACUAGGUGUGGUGAGACUAGGUGUAGUGAGACUAGGUGUGUUGGGACUAGGUGUGGUGGGACUAGGUGUAGUGAGACUAGGUGUGGAGGGACUAGGUGUGGUGAGACUAGGUGUGUUGUGACUAGGUGUGUUGGGACCAGGUGUAGUGAGACUAGGUGUGGAGGGACUAGGUGUGUUGGGACUAAGUGUAGUGAGACUAGGUGUGGAGG
ensembl:lncRNA